CUACGGGCCGCACCAGUGAGGAAUAUUGGUCAAUGGGCGCAAGCCUGAACCAGCCAAGUCGCGUGCAGGAAGACUGCCCUAUGGGUUGUAAACUGCUUUUGUAUGGGAGUAAAGUGCUCUACGUGUAGAGUUUUGCAAGUAUCAUACGAAUAAGGAUCGGCUAACUCCGUGCCAGCAGCCGCGGUAAUACGGAGGAUCCAAGCGUUAUCCGGAUUUAUUGGGUUUAAAGGGUGCGUAGGCGGGAUAUUAAGUCAGUGGUGAAAGUUUGCAGCUCAACUGUAAAAUUGCCAUUGAAACUGAUAUUCUUGAGUACAAAUGAGGUAGGCGGAAUGUGUUGUGUAGCGGUGAAAUGCAUAGAUAUAACACAGAACACCGAUUGCGAAGGCAGCUUACUGGGAUGUAACUGACGCUGAGGCACGAAAGCGUGGGGAUCAAACAGGAUUAGAUACCCCUGUAGUC
rnacentral:rRNA from 1 species